ensembl:lncRNA
CAAUUUGUAGAGCAAUAAAUACCGAGGCGGUGGGAGGAGUCCCCAGAAGAAAAAUCGUCCUCCUUCUCCAAUUAAAACUCCAUCUCGGCAUCGCUGCGGACCGUGGGAAGGUCUGAAGGAAAACACGGUGGCCCCGAUAUUCUUCUAACUGAGAAGUGCUACACAGUCUCUUCUAGAUGAGAUGUCUGACUAGAAAGGACAGGUGCAAAACCAGAGCAGCAAGAUCAGAGUGUGAAACUCAGUGAUGCUACUGCCGUCUCCAGCUGUCCUCCUCUCAGGCUCCCCCACAGGCAGCUAGCUUGGAUAAUGGACUCGAGGGAACACAUGUAUUGCUGUCGGCUUCUCUCCACACCCACUCUGUGAGAUGACUACAGGAUCAUUUUAAUCAAGAAUGAAGACUACAUAAUUCAAGCAACAGGGUCAAAAGUCUGAUGUCUGCAGGGAAAGUGCAUUGGUUUAACUUCAGUCAGAUUUUAAAUCUUGGCUUUAAGGCUUGGCUAAAUAAUUAGGUCAAACCAGUGCAACGUUCCCGUGUAACUAAGGCCUUAAAAAAGGAUUUUAAAGAUAAAUAUCUCAGUUAAUUACUUAAGCUACAGUCUGAAACCUAUUGAAGUCAAUGAGACAGGAGAGCAAGCAGCCAACAAGAUACACUCUGAAGUGUCUUUCUGAAUCAGUAGCUUCAUUCUGCUCUAAGGAACAAACCUCCAUUUCAGCGAAAGUCAUCUUAGGAUCAUGGUGCUUUCUUAGAUCUCUGUCAGCCGCAAAGCCUACAAGAGAGAGGACAGUGCUAAGGCCUGGCUGCAGGAGAGUGUUGCAGGAAGCUGGAGAGAGCAGAUUCUCAGCUAUACAUUCCAUUACAAAGUCUGACUUAAUUCAUGGAUCAGGAAUGGAAGACCAACUUCCUUGCCUUCAAACCAUGAGGAGUUUCAGAAAGUAGAGUCAACUUCUCACUGUACCAAACUAAAAGAACAGACACAAAUGAAAAACUUCAAUAGUGCAACAAGCUCUGCUCAAAGAAGCUCACCCAGCAGCCCGUUCAAUGCUUUGGCUUUUGUUAAAAGGGAGGUUCUUCAGAGCAAGAGGUUCCAUUACAUGUCUACAUGUUGAGGAGAAGACCCUGGCCAGUGGCCGGCCACCCAUUCAGCCACUCCCUCACUCCCCUUCCUCAUGGGGGCAUGCAGGGGCAGAAAAAUGAUGAAAAAGCUUGUGGACAGAGAUAAAGACAGGGAAAUUACUUACUAGUUACUGUCAAGCAAUUACUUACCAAUUUGUCACUUGGAGAAAAUUAAUUUUUUGCCAAUUGAAAGAGCUUUGGUUUUUUUGAGAAACAAAAUCAAAAACUGAAGGCACGUCUUACCCCCACAUCCUUUCCCACUUCAUUCCUGAUUCCUCUUUCAGUGAAUGGGAGGUGUGACGGGUCCACAACAGUUCCUCUCCACCUCUCCUUUCUCCUCACACUGUUCUCUUGCUCCACCAUGGGCCUCUUCAAUGGGCUGCAGAUUCAUGCUCUGUCUUGGAGGACCUCAUUACUCUCCUCUUUCUCUGAACUUGGCCUUCACCCCAUUACUUCAUCCUUUUUUUCCCCUUCCUCUGCCUGCCUAGUGCUUUUGCCCAUUCUUUAAUACAUCUUCCCUGAGACACCAGCAAAAAGCCACGUGGGCUCCUGGAGCUUGGCAGCGUCUGCUAGGAUGGCCACUGGUCCAUCACUGGUCAACAAUGAGUGUUGCGCCAUCACUUGUUGUAUGCUUCUGGUUCUAAUGCAAGGGAGCAGAUUGAUAUAUAACGUCACUAUUUCCAACCUCAGAUAUUCAGCAAAUGUAUUUUUUUCCCCAAAUACUUUUCAAUGGCAAAUAUAGAUAUCUUUUCGUUUGUAUUUUGACCUCCAAGUCUUGAAUCUUUCUCCAAACACAUAGUCAAGAAACUCAUUUUUCAAAAGUCCUAAGAGUUGAGUUUCUUAUGAGAGUCUGGUCCACUUCAAGGAGAGAAACCUCAGUUUAUGAAAAAUAAUAUUACAACUGUUGUGCUGGCUGAUGUCCUCUACUUUUACAAGAGAACAAUAGAAAAUCAAUUACACUGACAAACCCCCCUUGUGGGGUGAAACUGUGUAGGCUUUCCCAACAGACAUAACAGAUGUUUCUUGAAGAGUGAUUUCUGAAGGUAAGGAAAUAAGGCAUCUUUUCAUGAAUAUUAUAUCUUCAUUUCCGCAGCUACAUAUUGCAAUCCUUCUGCAUUUCCAAGAGUGGUAGGCUUUAUCACAGAGACAAUUGCUUUGUGUUGGACUAAAACCACAGCUUUUUUGCUUAUGGACUACCAAGCAAUGUGUAGAUGGUGACACUCACCAAAAAUCUCAGCAAACUGACAUUGCAUGAGGUGAAAAACAUUUGUCCUGCUCCUUUCCCCCACCAUGCCACCCUUCUCUGUCUCAUAUUUGUACAUCAAGGAAAAGAUACAGUAUUUGGUAUUUAAAACUUACUUUUGUAGAAGGUUGUAGCAGCACACAUUUUUAGAGAAGUAUUCUGCCAGGUCAGGGGAGGAUUUAUUUUCUGAAUGCCUAAUGCAUAUUUAAAAGCUGAUAAUAGUACAUGACAGCACCAAAAAUGUUAUAUAACUUCUAGAAUGUCUAUUAAAAAAGUAGAGCCUUGCCAUUAAAAAAAAAAGUAGAAGCCUGUGAGAUUCCCACCAUCUGGAUGGAGUCUUUUUUCUUCCCAGAUGAAUUAGUUGUCAAGGGAGGAAUUAUUUUAGGCAUCAAGUAACCCCUGAUUGUGAGUGACAGACUAACACAAGAGCAGAUGCAAGGUUACUGCUGCCUAUCCAUUAUGUGGAAAGGAGACCCAUGCAUGUCCUACUUACUGUGCAUACUGACUUGGGUUAUUAAAAGAGUAACUAGAGGUGGGUCAGACCCAGAAGAUAGCUCAUACCACUCACAACAGAUGUUCUUUCACAGGAGAGAAAACAAACACUGGAUACUUUCUGGGGAUACUGUAGAAGGAGGGGACUUCACUACUUUCAACAAGUCACAAGUACAGAUUCCCAACAGAGGCACAAAUCAACUUUUUCAUUCAAAUAACAGUUAUUUGAGACCGUGAUGAAACACGAGAGGACUGUGGACCGUGCCAGUGAGAAUAAAGAAAUAAAAAACAGUGCCAUCUUGUGGCCUACAGUACUCUGAAUGCUCCCAAGAGGAAAGAGGAAAAUCUUUUGCACUAAGAAAAAAGUACCGGUAACUUCUGGCCAAACGAUAAGUAACCUUAUUUCAGUUCAGAAUCCUGUCUUGAAUAUGCAGACUUUGGUUUUAUCAUAUGACUGAAACAAAUACCUCUUCCUUUUAUAAUUGCACGUGUUAUAAAAGAGUGGCAUAUUGUUUUUAUUGGACUAAUUCUCGCUCCACUACUACUGAAGAGAUUUGAGAGCUCAUAUAUUCAUCAUCCGUCGAAGUAAUCUCCAUGGUAUCUUAGAUUCAGACAAA